rnacentral:rRNA from 1 species
UACGUAGGGUGCGAGCGUUAAUCGGAUUUACUGGGCGUAAAGCGUGCGCAGGCGGCCCGUUAAGACAGGUGUGAAAUCCCUGGGCUCAACCUAGGAAUUGCGCUUGUGACUGGCGGGCUCGAGUACGGUAGAGGGGGGUGGAAUUCCUGGUGUAGCAGUGAAAUGCGUAGAGAUCAGGAGGAACACCGAUGGCGAAGGCAGCCCCCUGGGCCUGUACUGACGCUCAUGCACGAAAGCGUGUGGAGCAAACAGG